UGGGGAAUUUUGGACAAUGGGCGAAAGCCUGAUCCAGCAAUGCCGCGUGUGUGAAGAAGGCCUUCGGGUUGUAAAGCACUUUUGUCCGGAAAGAAAUCCUUGGCUCUAAUACAGUCGGGGGAUGACGGUACCGGAAGAAUAAGCACCGGCUAACUACGUGCCAGCAGCCGCGGUAAUACGUAGGGUGCAAGCGUUAAUCGGAAUUACUGGGCGUAAAGCGUGCGCAGGCGGUUUGCUAAGACCGAUGUGAAAUCCCCGGGCUCAACCUGGGAACUGCAUUGGUGACUGGCAGGCUAGAGUAUGGCAGAGGGGGGUAGAAUUCCACGUGUAGCAGUGAAAUGCGUAGAGAUGUGGAGGAAUACCGAUGGCGAAGGCAGCCCCCUGGGCCAAAUACUGACGCUCAUGCACGAAAAGCGUGGGGGAGCAAACAGGAUUAGAUACCCUGGUAGUCCACGCCCUAAAACGAUGUCAACUAGUUGUUGGGGAUUCAUUUCCUUAGUAACGUAGCUAACGCGUGAAGUUGACCGCCUGGGGGAGUACGGUCGC
rnacentral:rRNA from 1 species